CUGGUGAAUAGGGAUUAAUGAAU
rnacentral:piRNA from 1 species